GGCUGUGGGCCUGGAUGUGAGCCCCGUCUGUGGCUCGCCGGCUGUGGGCCUGGAUGUGAGCCCCGUCUGUGGCUCGCCGGCUGUGGGCCUGGAUGUGAGCCCCGUCUGUGGCUCGCCGGCUGUGGGCCUGGAUGUGAGCCCCGUCUGUGGCUCGCCGGCUGUGGGCCUGGAUGUGAGUCUUGUCCAUGGCUUUCUGGUGGUGGGCUUGGAUAUGAGCUACUCACUGAGUCUGUGCCCUCACCAUGCCUGACUCAGCAGAGGCAAUGCUGCCCUCCUCCCUCCAGCCCAGAGGGCAAGCCAUGUGCUGGGCCAGGGGCUGCCCUGCCUAAAGCUGACACUGACUCUAGUUGCGCUCUGGGAACCUGUCUCUCACCUGCCCCAGCUCUGUGUACACUGGGUCUCCUGCUGAGCCUGGCCGUUGGCGUCGAGGCGCAGGCUGGGCUCUAUUCCUGGAAGAGGGCUGACUGCCACUCAUGUCUCUGACGCUGAGUGGGCUCCUCCUUCCCCCCACAGCACUGGACGGGCCUCUGUCGCUGGCUUCCUGUUGGCAUUGUGUCUUGAUGAUCAGGAGAAGCUGCUGGAGGGGAAUUCCCGCCUCCCCAACCUGUGUCAGGACCUGGCACAGGCUAGGGUCUCUGCAGACCUUGUCAGGACCUCGGAUCUUUCCACCUCAUUGUGAGAUAUUUGUGCCCGUAAUACUAACAGGCAUCUGCAGGUGCCGUGUGGGGAUCUGGGUUCUGCUGACCUCGUACGAAUCACCCUGGCUGGCUACACCUCUCAGUCAAUUUGGCCUCAGAUUUCACACCUGAUAUUGCUGAUCUUUGAAGGUACACCUCUGAGUUCAGUGACAAUUACAAGUGCUACAUCUGGUGUCUCCUAAUUCAUAAUUUAUAGGUGUCUCUUUCAUAAUGGCCUCUCCUCCCAUUCCAAACUCGCUGAAUAUGCAGGAGAGGAGAAGCAGCAAUUAUUUAUAAUAACUUUAUUAGCUAUAAUUUGUGUCUAUCCUCUGAAAGGACAGAGUGAUGUCUCUGGGAGCUGCAUAUUGAACACAGGUGCUUAUAUUCGACCUUGCCCCCGAUGCAUUCCACGCACAGCGGUGUGCCUUUCUUCCCGGGAAGGACGGGUACAAUUUGUCACCACACAAAUUAUACUGUCCUUGCUGUUGACAUUCUUUUAUCAGAUAAAUUACUUGUACUUAUUAUGCUGAAGGCAGUUUCCAUGAAAAUUUGAUAUUGUGAAAAAUCUUAGUUUAAGUUGAGACUAAGAGGAUUGGAUCUCUUUCUACAAUAGAGAAAUACGGGUCUGAUUACCCGUGUCCGUGACUGUUUUCUGGAACCCCAACCCCGCCCCAGAUUUCUUGCUAGUUUGCACACAGUUCAGGCCUUUCCCCUGCCUCCAGCUGGCUGUCCCUCUGCGUGGUGGUGAGGCAUUGCACACACCUGGGAACAGACACACCGUGACCUUCUCUGCAGCCUGUGGUCAGGGAGCCAGCAGCAGAGAAGGGCCACGGGUGGUGAUUUGCUUUUUCCGACAACUGGAAGGGAGAACGUGACUUACAGCAGUGCUGUGGACUUGAUCUCAAAAAGCUUCAGAACACUUGUCACGGACAUGACAGAUUCCCUCCGAAAACCAACAUUGUCAAUGAGGAAGAUGCACACAACUGUGUUUUUCUGAAAAGAAAAUUCUUUCUUGCACAAGAGUAACAUAUGUUCAUUACAGAACAUUUUAAACUUGGAGGAAGUAAAAAGCUUGAAAUUAAGACUGUCCACAUUUCUUUCGCCCAGAGAAGGCUGCUGUUGGCACCGCUGCAGGCCCUGCCCUCUCUCCUCACCUUUUCUAUAGCACGUACUUUUAACAUACAGACAUUUGUAUUCCUCUUAAAGGCUAUGAAAGUUCCUAAUGAAAAUAAAUUUACUCUUCUCUUUAAAAUGUUUAUUCA
rnacentral:lncRNA from 13 species